rnacentral:tmRNA from 1 species
UGCCUUCAAAAGUGCCCGGAGAAUGCUUAUAUUGGUCGUGUCGGGAAACCGACUAUGGCGAUAAACGCCGCGUGGAAUAAGCGUUUCGGACCCGGGGGCAGUACCCGGCGCCUCCACCAUUUCACCUCCAAGCCGAACAGGUGCGGAGUCGAUGGGGGCGAACCAGGAUCGACGAGCGUGGUAAAGGCGCGGUUUUUGCCCGGUAUGGUUCCGCCGUGACGGGCCAUUCACAAGUGCUAACGAUAACACCGUUACACUCGCUGCUGCCGCCUAAACAGCGGACGUAAGCGCGGUUCGGGAGGGCACCGGGCAACAGAAGCCCUCCCACU